UGUGUACAGUCAAGCGAGCAUCCUUAGUUUUAUGUUGAGUUUAGAGUGUUUAUGAGGAUCCAGGCCGCUAAAGCUGAAUAUUCACCAAAUAAUAAUAAAUAAUAUCACAAAACAUUGAUCAAAAAUAUAUGAAACAAAUGGAAACAGUUUAAAAGUGGUGUGUGUGUGUGUGUGUGUGUGUGUGUGUGUGUGUGUGUGUGUGUGUGUGUGUGUGUGUGUGUGUGUGUGUGUGUGAGAGUGUGUGAGAGAGGAGAAAGAGAAAGAGACUGUGUGGUUAAAGAUAUUCUCUCCAUCCAACCUUUCCUCCAUCUGUCCAUACAUCCCUCAUCUGUACGGUCCAAUUAAAUUCAUCACGUUGUGCCCCUCAGAGAGAGAGAGAGAGAGAGCUAAAUGUAGACAGGGGAACCCCACACACAAAUGCACACCAGACAAAUAGGACACACACUGCCAAUCGGACUAAAAGCAAAUAAUAAGAAAUUAUAUAAUAAUAAAUAAAGAGAGAGACAGAGCGGAGAAUGAAAGUGGCAUGCUCAUGAUGUAUCGCUGCCUCGCGAAAUAAAACGUAUUCAUAAAGAAUAUUCAUUACCUCUGCAAGCCAUCCCACAGAUGGCCAGAAAAUUGGCAUUGUGUUGAGAUGUGGAUUCAGGCAUGCAUAUUAAUGGGGGACAGAUGUAAGCGCAUAUUCAUAUUCUUUGCCUUCUUUCUUCCCCCCUGACACACACAAUGAUAAUGCAACCACUUAGGAGAAAGGGGGAAAGAGGGAAAGGGCUGCACCCGGGAAGCAAUUCAACCUCUAAUGUGCUGGUGGGUUAUUAGCUUUUGGUCCGAUUGGCAUUGUGUGUCAUGUGCAUUUGAGUGCAGCGUUGCCCCGUCUCCAUUUAACUCGCUCACUCUCAAAUUCAAGUACAGCGUUGGCAGGAUUCAACGCUGUGUCUCUAACCUAAGCAUAGUUACAUGUUGAUAAGUGAUACAAUAAAUAAUGACAGCCAACAAGCAGAAGGAAUAACAAGGUGUCGUUCUCUGUUCCUCACCUAAUGGCCGGCAGAAGCAGGGGGCUGCUGCCAGCUCACAGCUAUUAGCAGCCUCCUCUAGCAGGACCGAUAAUGUGUCCUCCACUGGGUGCUGGAGAGCUUUGGCUCUUAAAAAUACAUUUUCAACGGUAUUUCCCUCUUUAAUUCGUCUAUUUCUAACAUUCGGUGAGGAAGUCUAGUCCUUUUUUGAGCUCACAUAGGGCGCCGCUCCCUUUUCCCACCUUUCUCUCUCUCUGGUGAUUGCGUCAACAUUCUUAACUUUUAAUGGCAAAAAAACAAAAAAAAACGGAUUGACUUUGGCAUUGUGUCUCUGCUCAUGUGACGCUCUGGAAGACAUCCUUAUUUUAACCAUCAAGAUUAUUUUUUUUCUCCACUGUCUCUAUUUGCUUCCACAAGAGGACAGUAGCGUUCUCUUGGCUCCUCUUUCAAAGUCACAGCACUGUCUUCAUAACUUCUACACUGACCGUAUGUAAAUUAAAGUCCUCGCCAAGAUUCACAUAGUCAGCACAAAACAUGGAGUCUAUUUUUGCAUUCAGCUGCGUGUAUCGGUGCGGUUUGCUUGGGGUUUUGCUCACAGCUUGAGGUAUUCAGAGGGAUGGACAAAUAUGACUGUAACUAAACACACAGGAAUGACUCCAGCACAAUUGAAAUCAAUAAUAAAACCACUUUAUUUGACACCAGUGCUGUGCCCAUUGCACAGCAUCAAACCCUUGGCUUCCCUGUACAUAUUACAUCUCAUCUCCAGGUUACAGCCUAUAUAUGUCACUGGAAUCCUCGAGGAGGGUUUUAAUACUAACAGCCUCAUAAACCCUCAAUCCAGUAACAGAGCGCUGCUCAAUUGGAGUAAAACCUUCUUUGUGUAAGUGUGUGCCAAUCUGGAAAAUUAAAGCCAGUUAAUAAAAAGCAACGCUAAAUCAAUGGAAGCCGUAAAAGUUACAGGGUGAUAUUAAAAUGUAGAAGGGUGGGGGUGGCAUUAACACGCCGGGCCUGAAUUAUUAUGUUAAUUUAAUAUCCACUGUUCAAAUGAAGCAGAAAGCCCAAUAAAGGUCAAUUAAGCAACUCGCCUCCUAUUUCCAUUUAGGAUUUUAGGGCCUCAUCUAAAUCACUGGGCUGGUACCAGGUUCCUUUGGUAUCAAGCGUUCAGAGACAGCUCCUCCUUUGAACUACAGAUGUGUUCUUGCUGCUGCACACAAGAUCAAUGUUUACACAUCCGGGUCCCAUUUUAUCUCUCCAAGCUUACUCUCUGUAUGUCUUGAUAUUUAAGUAAAUGUGUAUUCUCAUUUUGGAAUUGUUUAAUGCAUAUAGCAUGUAUUUUUUGUACAAAAUUCUCUUUGGCGAUACACUGAAUGUGACGUAAGGUUGUUUCCAUUGAUCAAGCCUCUGUUUCAUAUAAAUAAUGAACUGUUCAAUCCCUAAGGCUUUGCAUUGAACUGGAUUUAUUUUUAAAUAUGCAUGCGGAUUGAUGUUCUAUGGUCCGAAAGGAAAUAAUUAUUGAUUAGGCCAACCUCAUGACUGGAAAAACUGGCAUAUGUAUCAAAUAAAUGCCAAAAAUAAUGACAACUCACCCACCCGCUCCACUAUAAUAGGAGUAGUAACUGAAAUGUAAUAUCGAUGUUCUCUGACACAUUUGUGAAGAAAUCAGUAAACGGAGUGAUGAAUAAUUCCAAUGUGUUUAUUGACGGUAGCGUGCUGCAUUCAGACACGGCUGCAUGCAGAUCCAUAGUCUUAGGAAUAAAUCACACUGAGCCAGUUAGAGCAAGUCUUUCAAGAUUUGCAGUUAAUAAACUAAAGCAGGACCUUUGCUGUUGUGUGACCUGACGUAUAAAGUCACUCUCUUUCUGGGCUCCACCUUUUAUGUAAUGGCGUCUAUGUUGUGUGGAGGCAUUAUAUAAAUGCUCUGAAUUGAUUUGUAUUGAGCACAUUUGAGUAAAUACUUAUGUACGCUGUUACUUGCUCAUUCUAUAACGGGGCAAUAUAACCUUGUUCAUUAUGAUUUUUUAAAUGAAAUAGGCCAUAAUAGGUUCUGGUUUUUGUUUGUCUCCUAUAACAGCAAGACAUCGGAGGACAAAACAAGAACAUUUUCCACUCUAUUGACAAAAUUAGAAGAUGAAUAGCUAAUUCCAAUAACCUUUACUUUCCUUAUUUAAAUUUUGCACUAAUACAAGGAUGAAAAGGUUCACACAAACAAGUGAAACCACACAUGACCCAAACUAGUUUAUGUGAACCUCUGAAUGUAAAGCCUAAAUGUUGUGUGUAGUUAUCAAUUCCGUCCCACAUGCUGGUCUUGACUCUGAGCCUUUUGGGAUAAAGUUCAGGCUUGUGUCAAACAUGGCUUUUGCAUCUUUAAAUACACACGUUCUCUCUUUGAAGCGCCCACAUACAAAAUGCAUAACGCACAAAAGUUCAGCAAAAUGCUUCAGUGCAAAGUGAGCGUCGUUGCUUCCUUCCCCAUGCUACACAUCUGGAUGGUGUCCGGAUGCAUUACAUGACUGAAUGGGUAAGUGACCCAGAUUCUGAAAUGGGAUUCUAGGUGUCUAAAAAACAUGGAAUUGUUCUCGGACAGAUGUUACUUUUUUAUAAUUACAUCAGCCAGGAAAACACUGCUAUGAACGGCACACCGAAUUAAAAAAAAAAGGCAAUACAUAUGCAAUAGUAUCAAUACUCUUUUUUUGGGGUGAUGUCAUGGUUUCACAAUGUUCAUCCUGUGUGACACGAUGAUGAAACAUUUACCUCCUGUGCUUGUGGCUCCUGCCUGAUUCCUUAUAAAACCCCGGCGCAGCGCGGCUCUCGCUGUGUUCACAGUCGAAAUAGACUCGGGCCUUUUUGUUUAUCAGAAACGGAAAAAAAAAGGAAAAAAAAGAAGCUAUCAGAUACUCCAGUACGCCUAAAGAACACACACGCAGUCUGUGCUGCCUGGACGUGCCUGUGAAGCCACGCCGCGCUGAAGGCAAUCUGUCUCCCCCACCCGUAACGACCAUCUGUCAUUAGUGCAGAUCAAUGGAGAUGAUGGAUGGGGAGGGCUGGCUGUGCUGACAGCAGCACUGAGACGGGGGUGGGUGGGGGUGUGGGGGUCCUGGGUGGAAUCACCGCGGUUAUGGUGCGUGGUCCCGACCCAGCGGGCAAAAUUCUCUGAUGUUGAUUUAGCUUCUGAGGUCGGGUUGAUACGACUUGGGACGAUCCAGAAAAGCUUCAGAUUGAAUUCGGAAUAUUCAAAAUGAAUUCUAGUCUAGAGUGUCUGGAGCGCACCCACCCACUCGCGACGGCUCCGAUGCCAGACGUGUUAUGAAUUCUCUCCGAAUAAUCCAUUUUCCUGAGCACUUAGUGGGUUAUUCAAAGCAUGUCGUAUGGAGUCGAUGUAAAACAAGGCAAUGAAACAAGCAGAGAAAGGACUGCGCCAAGACUGCACAUCUAGGAGCAUGAAAUCCCAAUAACCAGAGCGAACCACUUUGGAUUCAUCCAGAGUCAUCAAGAGGACCGGACAUAAAUUUGAUGAAGCACAUUUCACACUCGCUGAGAAAAGAUGGACGGGCCGAGACCUGUUAAAAUCCCUGGGGGGGUUUUGAACAAGAGCAAUGGACGAAAUAAAGGGCUUAUCUCCAAUUUUAGUCCCCAAAAUUGAAUUCGGAGGGAACAGUGGCUCCAGUGUGGGACAAAUCCCUCAUCUAUAUUCCCUCACCACACCCCCCUCCCCCACACACAAUCUCAAAGAUGUUCAGUUUCUUUUGUCAUCUUUUCCUGUGAUCACAUCAAUGACUUAACAAACACAAAUUAAAGGGCACAGUAACGCAAAAUAUAACAAAAUGCUAAGAUGAAACAACACAUUCACACAUAUAACAAUUCAGAUUACCUUCUUUCUAGCAAUAAAGAGCCAUACAAUGACUAAAACCCACAAAAUGACCUGUACACAGCCUUACUACUGCACACGUACUGACAGGCUCACACACACACACACACACGCACACACACACACACACACGCACUCAUGCACUCGGGCAAUGGGAAUUGCUUCGGAAAAACAGCACCUGCUCCUCCAUUUGAAAACUAUUUAGGGAGGCAUCAAACUCUAUCAGGGCAGGUCUGAUUGCGGUCGCCUCUUCACAGUCCCCCAAUCACUCAGUGAGUCAAUUAGCCCCCCCGCCCCCUUACACACACGCUCACAGACACACACACACACACAUACAAUAUGCACAACAGACUCCCAUUCCCUUUCAGUCCGCUGUGGGUUCCGCCGGGGAAUGAGAGUCCAUCGGCGGCCUCCCGGCAACACCUGAGGACCCCCACCCCCCCCUUCCACCCCACCCCUCCCUCCUUCCGCACCCAUAGUCAGCUAAUAGCGGUGCUCCAAGGGCACCCGAGCCACAAUGGCGCUCAAUUCACCCCCAUUGUACCCUCUUUUACCAAGCCUCAUACCAGCGCCUCGACACCCAUUUAGCAGAUGAUGGGAAAAGAAAGAGAGGGCGAAGCCGAGCGAGGGGGGAGGGUAAAGGGGGGGAGGUAGGAAACGAGCGACGCAGCGACAGGGGUGACGCGUCCGCUCACCUCUGGGAUCAUUCACUUUGUUCGGCGGAGGGGAAUUUGAUUGUGCCGUUCCCCCCCCGUGCAUGCGCUCUGUGUCGGCCCCCGGUUCUCGCAGGUACCCUGGAGGGCGUCCGCGGGCCUGCGGGCGCGUUGCACGUCGCAUUCGGGUUUCACCUGCGCGUUGUGCCCGCGCCCCGUCGGCUCUCUGGGCGAAGCGGGCGGCGCUCUCUCACAAUCGCUUAUUUAUUCGGGGCCUUUUGAAAUAAUCGAGUUGACACAUCUGUCAGAUGGUGAGGGGAGGAAUGCUAAAAGGUCACCGGGCGAGGUAGCAGCUGCUCCCGCACCAAACCUUUCCUGCCUCCAAAUAGCACAGUCAUUACACGACAACAGAUGGGACUCCUGCCUUUCAUUUCUGCCUCUCACACACACACACACACACACACGUAGAAGCGCACGUGCAAAUUGGUCACAUGCACACACAUACACAGAGGUGCAGUCACACUUGUCACUGACAAUACAGGGAAACAAGCAGAGACAUGUACUGUACACAUCUGCACACACACACACACACACACACACACACACACACACACACACACACACACACACACACACACAUAGACACGUGUUGUCCAUCACUGUCUCGCUUGCUCUCACCUUUGCUCUCCUG
ensembl:lncRNA